rnacentral:tRNA from 3 species
GCGGAUGUGGCGGAAUGGCAGACGCAACGGACUUAAAAUCCGUCGACCUCAAAAGUCAUGGGAGUUCGACUCUCCCCAUCCGCACCA